rnacentral:rRNA from 1 species
UACGUUUCGAAGGAGCUAAUACCGCAUACGUCCUACGGGAGAAAGCAGGGGACCUUCGGGCCUUGGCUAUCAGAUGAGCCUAGGUCGGAUUAGCUAGUUGGUGGGGUAAUGGCUCACCAAGGCGACGAUCCGUAACUGGUCUGAGAGGAUGAUCAGUCACACUGGAACUGAGACACGGUCCAGACUCCUACGGGAGGCAGCAGUGGGGAAUAUUGGACAAUGGGCGAAAGCCUGAUCCAGCCAUGCCGCGUGUGUGAAGAAGGUCUUCGGAUUGUAAAGCACUUUAAGUUGGGAGGAAGGCAGUAAGUUAAUACCUUGCUGUUUUGACGUUACCGACAGAAUAAGCACCGGCUAACUCUGUGCCAGCAGCCGCGGUAAUACAGAGGGUGCAAGCGUUAAUCGGAAUUACUGGGCGUAAAGCGCGCGUAGGUGGUUUGUUAAGUUGGAUGUGAAAGCCCCGGGCUCAACCUGGGAACUGCAUCCAAAACUGGAAGCUAGAGUACGGUAGAGGGUGGUGGAAUUUCCUGUGUAGCGGGAAAAUGCGUAGAUAUAGGAAGGAACCCCAGGUGA